rnacentral:lncRNA from 1 species
CAGCUGAUGCUUAAUACUUCAAAUGUCAUUCAAACGAUUUCGUGUUAAAUACACAAUAAGAUUUAUAGGUACUCUAAAGUGUCUAAAGGAUCGUUGGAAAAAAGCCAUGCUUUUAGCUUAUUUUAAAAAGUUAUGACUGAAAAAAUAAGUUCUUAAAAGUACCGUCGGGAAGUAACUGUCAAAAAACCUAAAAGUGAUGGGAGACUAAGGGUUAAAGUAGUUGGGCCGUGGGUUCUGGCCCUAAACUUUUAAAUAUACCAAAAUGAUGUUCAGGUGACUGCGCCACUUUACCUUUCACAGCCGCAAUUAAUAAAAAAAUGUACUUAAGACUUUUGAAAUUUGUCGGUACGGAUAUAUGGCAGUUGAUUUCUGUGUUUAACAAACUCUAAAUAACUAUGUAUUGCCCGCAUUUGUUAAUUGAAGGGUAUUUAAAAACGAAAAGAAAUAUAUUUUGAGUUACGGUGAUUGUCAACGUUUCAUUAAUGAUAAUUUUCUGGAACAAACUUCGGUUCUAAAGAUUCUGAAAGUAUUUUAAAACAUGUCAAAAUUUUCUCAAACUGAACUAAAUUUGGAUUGAUAUAAGUUUAAUAAAAAAA